UCUCUCUCUCUCAUCCCAGGAACUGUCUCUCUCUCUCUCAUCCCAGGUAGAGUCAGACAUGGUCUUUUAUGUGUUCAUGUACAGUAUAUAACAAUAUACCCUGUUGGUGGGUUAGAGGUCAAGCAGAUGAGGCGACAGAGUGCAUGGUGGAUGGUUAGAGGUCGAGUAGAUGAGGCGACAGAGUGCUUGGUGGAUGGUUAGAGGUUAGAGGUCGAGUAGAUGAGGCGACAGAGUGCUUGGUGGAUGGUUAGAGGUCGAGUAGAUGAGGCGACAGAGUGCUUGGUGGAUGGUUAGAGGUCGAGUAGAUGAGGCGACAGAGUGCU